rnacentral:rRNA from 1 species
AUUAGCCAUGCAUGUCUCAGUACAAGCCGCAUUAAGGCGAAACCGCGAAUGGCUCAUUAAAUCAGUUAUGGUUCCUUAGAUCUUACACUUUUUACAUGGAUAACUGUGGUAAUUCUAGAGCUAAUACAUGAAACUUGUACCCCGACUUUACGGAAGGGGUGCUUUUAUUAGAACAAAACCAAUCGGUCGGCUCGUCCGUCCGUUGCCUUGGUGACUCUGAAUAACUUUGUGCUGAUCGCACGGUCCUAGCACCGGCGACGCAUCUUUCAAAUGUCUGCCUUAUCAACUGUCGAUGGUAGGUUCUGCGCCUACCAUGGUUGUAACGGGUGACGGGGAAUCAGGGUUCGAUUCCGGAGAGGGAGCCUGAGAAACGGCUACCACAUCCAAGGAAGGCAGCAGGCGCGCAAAUUACCCACUCCCGGCACGGGGAGGUAGUGACGAAAAAUAACGAUACGGGACUCAUCCGAGGCCCCGUAAUCGGAAUGAGAACACUUUAAAUCCUUUAACGAGGAUCUAUUGGAGGGCAAGUCUGGUGCCAGCAGCCGCGGUAAUUCCAGCUCCAAUAGCGUAUAUUAAAGUUGUUGCGGUUAAAAAGCUCGUAGUCGGAGGUGUGUCUCGGACGGUUGGUUCGCCGCUUGCCGGUGCUCAACUGGCCGGUCCGGACGUCCUGCCGGUGGGGCUGUAAAAGGCUCCGUUAUCCUUCUUUGGUCCUCUUCAUUGAGUGCCUUGGUGGGCCGGCACGUUUACUUUGAACAAAUUAGAGUGCUCAAAGCAGGCCGUUGGUCGCCUGAAUACUGUGUGCAUGGAAUAAUAGAAUAGGACCUCGGUUCCAUUUUGUUGGUUUUCAGAACUCGAGGUAAUGAUUAAUAGGGACGGACGGGGGCAUUCGUAUUGCGACGUUAGAGGUGAAAUUCUUGGAUCGUCGCAAGACGAACCGAUGCGAAAGCAUUUGCCAAGAACGUUUUCGUUGAUCAAGAACGAAAGUUAGAGGUU